GACGAACGCUGGCGGCGUGCCUAAUACAUGCAAGUCGAGCGAGUCUGCCUUGAAGAUCGGAGUGCUUGCACUCUGUGAAACAAGAUACAGGCUAGCGGUGGACGGGUGAGUAACACGUGGGUAACCUGCCCAAGAGAUCGGGAUAACACCUGGAAACAGAUGCUAAUACCGGAUAACAACAGAUGAUGCCUAUCAACUGUUUAAAAGAUGGUUCUGCUAUCACUCUUGGAUGGACCUGCGGUGCAUUAGCUAGUUGGUAGGGUAACGGCCUACCAAGGCGAUGAUGCAUAGCCGAGUUGAGAGACUGAUCGGCCACAUUGGGACUGAGACACGGCCCAAACUCCUACGGGAGGCAGCAGUAGGGAAUAUUCCACAAUGGACGCAAGUCUGAUGGAGCAACGCCGCGUGAGUGAAGAAGGGUUUCGGCUCGUAAAGCUCUGUUGUUGGUGAAGAAGGACAGGGGUAGUAACUGACCUUUGUUUGACGGUAAUCAAUGAGAAAGUCACGGCUAACUACGUG
rnacentral:rRNA from 1 species